rnacentral:lncRNA from 10 species
CAUGACCUUUGGCUGGCUAGGGAGGGGAUGCAAUGAUAUAAACAUUUAUCCCCUGAUACCUCAUGUUAAAAUCUGAUGCCCACUGUGGGACGUGGGGCCUAAUGGCCACCAUUUGGGUCAUGGUGACCAAUCUUUUAUGAAUAGAGAGAUACUGCCCUCUCUUGGGAAUGAAUGAAUUGUUGCUUUAUUAUUUUCCAAGAGAGCUAGUUGUUAAAAAGACCCUGGCAACUUCCUACUCUCUCUGUUCCUCUGUUACCAUGUGUUCUCUGCAUAUACCAGCUCACCUUUGUCUUCUGCCAUGAGUGGAAGCAGCCUGAGGCCCUCACUAAAUGCGCAAACAUUUCCAGACAUCAGAAUCUUGAGCCACAUGAACCUUGUUUAUAUAAAUUAGUCAGUCUCAGACAUUUCUUUAUAGCAACACAAAAUGGAAAAAGAUAACACUCGCAUCACAGGUAUGUGUCUCUGGCAGCUAGCCACCGUUCUUAAGAUAUCCAGGAUCCACUCAGCCAAGAGUCUUCUCAUCAGUACUCUAAAGACACUUAUCACUCAAGAGAGUCUAAGGUUUUUAGGAGAAACCAGGGACAAAGUCUAAAUGUUUUUGUGAUAACUCAGAUUGCCCACUUUUCUUUGACCACAUAUCUUUUACAGGAAAAAGGAUUGUAACAGUAAAGAGGUAUUGGCAUAUUAUCAGAGUCUCAUCCAUUCAUUCAAAAUUAGGCCAGUUUAUCAUCCUCUUGUAUGAAUAUGUCUCCCAGAAUGAAAUCACUCAGCUUUGCUGACAACACUCAAUCUUACCAGGUUCCAAAAACAAGAAUGGUCUCAGGGACAUACAGCUUCACUCUUUUAGGCAUCCAGUAUAAUUGACCUAAGUGACAAUAUCUUCUCUUGCUCACACCACCUUUGAGGAGUUAAGCUAAUAUUGAAUUUUUCUCAUUAUAUAACCCUUUGAUUUAUUCACUUGCCCUCAGCCACUAUUCCUCCCUCUGUCCCUUUAUAUCAGUUGUUUCCAGGUUUGGGAGUGACAUUAGGUUUGUCUGCUGGGCUGGCCUAGACUGCAGGCAGCAAUAGUAUUCUAGCAUGUCUUCCCUCAGUCUAGUCUUGAUCAUAGAGGGUAGGUUAUAUAGGUAAGGAACUAGUGGGGGCUAUCAAGACCACCAGGCUAUAUAACUCUACUUACUGUUAAUCCUAACUUUUCCAGAUGAAAUGAAUACUUGAGAAUUCUUACAUAAAGGUAUAAAAAUAUAGUUAUGGUUUUUGGCUUAGGGAUAAUUCCUGUUUCUGGCACUUUUAUUUACAUCCCUAUUCCUGGUACUAUGGCAUAACAUAUGAAAAAAUAAAUUUGAGGUGAAGUGUAGUCUUUAUUCCAGCAUCCUCUCCUCUUCAGAAGAAUUGUAUGUAUCGUCAUAACAGCAUCGUCCUGAUCCAUCAGGUAAAAGAGAGGAUGCUACCUAGUGGAGUUAUUCUUGCAGCCCCACUCAUGUUGACAGCGAGCACAUUCAUGAAGAUAUAAAAGCCAGUCCUUCAUGUUUAUAUUGCCCAACAAUUAGAUUGGCAGUUUUUAGACAAACAAUGUUUCAAUUGACCAUUUCAAUUUUCUAUCAAAUUUUCCCCUGAGGAGGACAUGUCCCUCUGCAUUGUUGGCCAUUUGAGGCUGUAAAGUGUGUUUUCUUGUGUAAAGAAGUGUGACUCGGCAGUCCAAAUUGGUGCAAUCUCUUCUUUUCUGGUUCUUGUAUAGCCCUUGAAGCAUUGACAUCUACCCCUGGUUGAGCAUAGCCCAAUCCAGAGUCAGUGAUUUUCCUGUCAAGAUCCAUUGGCAGCUCCUUUGGGGUUGCUGGCAUCAUUCUGGCUUGCCAGGUAUUAUGAUCAAAGCCUUCCCACUAGAGAAUCUGUCACAUCUCCAUCUGCUGCCUCUGUCUGUUUUCUUGACCAACAGUGAAAAAAGAGAUUAUGAGAAAUAAGAUAAAUUACCAAAAUUGUGAACAAAAGAGAGAUUAUCACUAAUGACCCUUAGGAAGUUAAAAAACAUUAUAAGUGAAUACUCUGAAAAACCUGAAGCCAAUAAGUUAGACCACUUGGAUAAAAAGGACCAAUUCGUGCAGAGAUAGAAAUUGCCAAAACUGACCCAAAUUAACUGGAAAACCUGAAGAGAACUGUGAACUAAGUCAGAAAUUGAAAAACCUUCUCAAAAAGAAAUGCCAAAGCCCAGAUAUCUUCACUGGUGAAUUCUAUCAAAUAUUUUGAAAGCUCUUUCAGACAAGAAGAGAGGAGGGAAGACUUUCCAGCCCAUUUACAGAACUGGCAUUACCCUCAUAUCAAAGUCACAGCAAGACUCACAGGAAAAGAGUGCCAUACACCAGUGUCACCAAUAAACAUAAAUGAAAACAUCCUUAACAAACAUUGGCAGAUAAUACAAAGCCACAUAAAAAAGGAUUACACUCCAUGACCAAUGGGAUUCAUCCCAGGAACAUAUGGUUGGAUUAACAUUUGAAAAUCAGUUCAUGGAAUGCACUGUAUUAAUGGAAAAAAAGACAUAAUUAUCUCAAAAGAUGCAGGAGAAACAGUUGACAAAAAUGUUAACAUCACUCAUGUUCAUAAGUUUCAACAAAAUAGGAAUGGAGGAGACCUUCUUCACUCUGAUAAAGGGCGUCUAUAAAAAACCCACAGCUAAAAUCAAACUUAAUGAAGAAAGACUGAAGACUGAAUGCUUUUCUCCUAAGAUGGGGAUCAAUGCAAGGAUGUCCAAUCCCACCACUUUUAUUUAAUAUUAUACUGGAGAUUGUAGCCAGUGCAAUAAGGCAGAAAAUUAAAAAUUAAAGGCAUCCAGAUAAAAAGGAAAACAUACAAUUCUAUUCACAGAUAACAUGACCCUGUCUGUAGAAUUCACAAGCAGAUAAAAACUGGCUAGCACUAAUAAAUGAAUCCAGAAGGGCCCAUAGGAUAUCAAAUCAAUAUAAAAAUUAAUUAUUAACAUAUUUCUCUAUAGAAGCAAUGAAAAUCUCAACUUUCCUAUCACAGUAGUUACCAGAAGAGCGAAAUAGGAAUAAAUUUAGGAAGACAGCAGUGUUUGUUCACUGAAAAUAAAAAAACAUUCCUCAGAGAAAUUAAAGGUCUAAAUAAAUGGAGAGAUGCGAGUUGGAAAGCUCGAUAAUACUGUUAAGAUGGCAGUUCUCCCCCAGUAGAUCUAUAGGUUCAACACAAUCCCUAUCAAAAUCCCAGCAGGGAUUUUAUAGAAAAUUGACAAAAUAGGCCGGGCGCGGUGGCUCAUGCCGGUAAUCCCAGCACUUUGGGAGGCUGAGGCGGGCGGAUCAUGAGAUCAGGAGAUCCAGACCAUCCUGGCUAACACGGUGAAACCCCGUCUCUACUAAAAAUACAAAAAAUUAGCCGGGCGUGGUGGCAGGCUCCUCGGGAGGCUGAGGCAGAAAAAUGGCAUGAACCCGGUAGGCAGAAGUUGCAGUGAGCGGAGAUCGUGCCACUGCACUCCAGCCUGGGUGACAGAGCGAGACUCCGUCUCAAAAAAAAAAAAAAAAAAAAAGAAAAGAAAAAAAGAAAAGAAAAUUGACAAAAUAAUCCUAAAAAUGUAUAUGAAAAUGCAGAGGAUGCAGAAGGGCCAACACAAAUUUGG